AGAAAGAAAGAAGGAAGGAAGGAAGGAAGGAAGGAAGGAAGGGGAGAAAAUAAAUCCAAAGAAAGAAAGAAAAUACACCGGGGAAAUAUUCCUGGGGAAAGGGGCCAGGGAACAGAGACGAGAGUGGGUCUCCUAGCCUGGGACCUGGGUGCACUGCUGAGCCCCGCGGGGUGCGUCCGGUGUGUCCGUGAGAAAGGAAGCGGGUCUGGCUGGAGAAGAAGCUGUACUUGGGAGCCAAGAGGAAGCAGCUUGGGAGGCAGGUGGAGGAGGAAGUUCGUGCCUCAGCUUGACAAAUGCCAUCUGCGGGAGACGGUGACGAGACGUCAACUAUGCGAACUUCUUACAGGAGUUACCUCCAAAUGCUAAGGAAAAAUACAAGCAGAGCUGGAAUCUCUGAGUCAGGGAAAAAAAACCAACAACUACCAGUGCAGGUGAACCUUGCCAUCAGCCACACCUAGAAAAGAGACAGAAGCGACCGAGGGGAAAAUAAAGUUUGGUCUAAACCAGUCCCUGGACCAAAUUUUUUGCUUGUAACUGGAAAAGAGCUUCCCCCCCUGCCUGAGCCACCUUUGCUUGACACAAGCUGAGGGGUUGCUGGGUUUGUGUCUCAGUCUAGAGAUUUGGGCUUUGCCCCAGUGACUGAUGCUUGGCUUGGUGCAAAGGUCCCACAGGAAAUUCCUGGCAUGAGUUAAAGUGUCCAAACUUCAAAGCAGCACAGCAAAACCUGGCUACAAUGUGUUCACCAAAAGACUCCUUCUGGAAUGUCCAUUGCAGCACUCUUCCCAGAACUGAAAAUCACCCGCACGUCCACCCACAGCAGAAUGGAGAAAGAAAUCGUGGUGUGUCCACACGUGUCAUCUGUGCAGCAAUGACAACAGGCAACCCAGAACUGUACACAACAGCAGGAAGGGUCACACAAACUUCACGGGGACCUCUUGCCUGCUUCCCUUCACACCAAGGAAAUACAAAGAGCAGAAGAGGUAGAAGCGAUAUGUUACCACGAGUCAGACCGCUAUUGCCUCUGGGGAGUGAGAUUUAUAAAGACGGGAGGGGACUCUGAGGAGCCAUCUGGGGCGCUGGUGCUCAUGUUUUGUGUCUAAUCUGGCUGCUGUGUGUACCUGGGUGUGCAAUUCAUAAAGCUCCGAGAGCUAAACACCGAUGACGGGUGCAUUUGUACGAAUGGGUAGUUGGCUUCGAGGAAAAUGUUUUUUAAAGUAUUUGCCAUUGGCAAGAGGGUGGAAAGGGCAGUCCCUGCUGCAAGUAAACCUAUUGCCUUCUGGCAUCAGAAGACAAGAAAGGGCUCAGAGGGCAGUUUUCUCUUGGCCCCAAAGUCAACACAAAAUAACCCACAGAGUGAAAGGAUGCCUGGCGCCUCGUGUGAACUCUCAUUCAUUCAUUUACGCAUUUGUUGCUUCACCUUCAGACAGAGAGCAUAUACCAUCUGGGACUUGAAGGGAUAAGUAAACGGACAAUUUAGGCCCAGAGCAGUGCCUGCUGCGCUGCGGAUCACAUUAGGGUGUUAAGGGGCUACUGAUUUUUGAGGGUCCAGGCCAGGAGCUCCAGGAGGAGUCCGGCCCUGUCUGAUUUACUCUGGAAUGGAAUUUCCUCCGACUCCCCAAGUAUCUUUUGAGCCUCUAGGGCCGUUGUUUAGCUUCAUGUGGUCAAGCAUCCCCCGGGGGUCUUGUGCGGAUUCUGAUGCGGUCUUCCUAAAAAACUCAUGCUGACAAAACGAGGAAAAAUAAGUAUUGAAAUUAUCAAAAUGGGCAAAAUAAAAGCCAGCGGAAAUAAUCAAACUAGCUAAUGUGUAACGAAUGAGCACCCCAGGCCAAGCACAGUGCUGAGCACUUCACAUGUAUUGUCUCAUUUCAUCCUUUCAACAACCCCAUAAAGCAGAAGUACCUCAAUUAUCCUGAGGGGACUGAGGCCUAGAGGAAUUAGGUAAUUUUCCAGGUAGAGUUGUAGAGCAGUAGAGCUGGAAUACCUCCUGCUCAUGGCUCUGUCAAUAUACGUACAUUUAUUUGCAAAAACUUGAUAUAAAUCAUCUUUUUCAUUCUAAGACCUCCUUUUGUAGGUACACUCUGAUAUGAUCCUUAUUUUAUAGAAGCAAUAGAAAGCUUCAUUUUCAAAACUCUUCUCAGACAUUGCAAAAGAAGACAUACAGCUGGCCAAGAGGCACAUGAAAAAAUGCUCAACAUCGCUAAUUAUUAGAGAAACGCACAUCAAAACUGUAAUGAGGCACCACCUCACACCUCAGAAGGGCCAUCAUUAUUAAUUCCACAAAUGACACAUGCUGGAGAGGAUGUGGUGCAAAGGGAACCCUCCUGCACUGUUGCUGGGAAUGUAAAUUGGUACAACCACUAUGGAGAACAGUAUGGAGGCGCCUCAGAAACUAAAUAUAGAACUGCCAUAUGAUCCAGCAAUCCCACUGCUGAGCAUGUAUCCAGAGAAAACUUUCGCUGAAACAGAUAACAUGCACCUCUAUGUUCUUCAGCCUAUUCAUUAGCCAAGACAUGGAAACAACCCAAGUGUCCCAUGACGGAUGAACGGAUUAAGCUGCAGUACAUAUACACAAUGGAAUACUACUUGGCCAUAAGAAAAAGAACAAAAUAAUGCCAUUUGCAGCAACAUGGAUGGAACUAGAGACUCUCAUCCUGAGUGAAGGAAGUCAGAAAGAGAAAGACAAAUACCAUAUGAUAUCAUUUAUAUCUGGAAUUUAAUAUAUGGCACAAAUGAACCUAUCUACAGAAAAGAAACAAACUCAUGGACAUGGAGUACACACUUGUGGUUGCCAAGGGAGAGUGGGAGGGAGUGGGAUAGACUGGGAGUUUGGAGUUAGCAGAUGCAACCUAAUUGCAUUUGGAGGGGAUAAGCAAUGAAAUCCUGCUGUUUAGCACAGGGAACUAUAUCCGAUCACUUGUAAUGGAACAUGAUGGAGGAGAAUGUGAGAAAAAGGAUGCAUGUGUAUGUAUAACUGGGUCGCUUUGCUGUGGAGCAGAAAAUGACAAAUUUUAUUCUAGUUGUAAGUCAACUAUAAUACAUUUUUUUAAAUCAAAUAAAAACAGUUCUCUUUGCU
rnacentral:lncRNA from 1 species